UUUCAAAAGUUUUGGACGUUUAGAGAAAAAUUCUCGUUUAACGAAAAUAUUAUAGCGACAGGUUAUAAUGAAUCCCGUUUGGAAACAAAUAUUUAUUUAAAAAUAGUGAACUGAAACAUCUUAGUAACUAAUUCAAAAAAUCAAACGAAAUUUUGUGAGUAGUGGCGAGCGAAAGCGAAAAGGCUUAUUAUUGCUUUUGUAUGAUUAAAACUUCGGGGUUGGAAUACCAAACUAUAAUUGGUAAUAGUCCAAAUAUAUUUAAAGCAAUAGUUAAAUGUUAAUGGCGGGAUACGUGUAUUCCUGUUAAUAUGUGGGGGGACCACCCUCCAAGCUAAAUGACUUUUGAAAACCAAUAGUAAAUUAGUACCGUGAGGGAAAGCUUGAAAUAGAAGUUGCAAGUUUAAAGCCUGAAAAAGGUAAAUGAAAAAGAUCGAGAAAUCUAGUGUCAAAAAGCAGUUGAAGUAAUUUAAAUUACAUCAGCGUACCUUUUGCAUAAUGGGUCAGCAAGUAUACAUAAUUAGCAAGCUUAAAUUGUUAAAUGUAAGCGUAAUGAAAUUGAAAAUAAGUUAUUUAUGUAUGACCCGAAACCAAGUGAUCUAACCAUGAUCAAGUUGAAGUUUAUGUAAAAGUAAAUGAAGGACUGAACUCGUGUAUGUUGCAAAAUACUGGGAUGAAUUGUGGUUAGGAGUGAAAGGCUAAUCAAACUUGGAAAUAGCUGGUUUUCUGCGAAAUCUAUUUAGGUAGAGUGAUUAUAUUUUUUAAGGGUGGUAAAGCUCUUGUUAAGCUAGGGGGGCUAAAAUCCUACCAAACUUAGUUAAACUUUGAAUUUCUUUAAAUAUUAUAAUUAAACAGACUUGCGAUGAGAAGGUCGUAGGUCGACAGGGAAACAGCCCAACUUACAGGUUAAGGUCCCAAAAUAAAAACUAAGUGAAAUAAAAUAGUGAAAUAACGAAGACAACUAUCAGGUGGGCUUAGAAUCAGCCAUCCUUUAACGAAAGCGUAAAAGCUCAUUGGUCUUUAUUACAAUUUAUUUUGUAAUUAGUUAUUUUGCAUUGACAAUGUAACGGGGCUAAAGUUUUUUACCGAAACCGUAAUUAGAUAAAUAAUAUUUCUAAGGUAGCAGAACGUUUUGUAUAGUUGAAAUUAGUUGCAAAACUCUUUUUUUUAUCAAAAGUGAGAAUGCUGGCAUGAGUAACUAUAAUUAAGGUGUAAAUCCUUAACGUCGAAAAUCCAAGGUUUUCUAAAAAAUGAUUGACAAUUUAGAGUUAUACGGCCCCUAAGGGAAAUGUGAAAACUUUUUUCUGAUGGGUAUAAAGUUUUUAGAGAGCGUAUAUCAGUUUGCGAUUAUCUUUCUAUUUUCUUUAUAUGAGAAAUAAGUGACGGUUAAAAACCUUGAAAAAUAACUAUUCUUGUAAACCGUACUGUAAACCGACACAGGUGGGUUAGCAUAAAAUGCGUAGACGUUUGAAAUAACUAUGUUGAAGGAACUCGGCAAAUUAGCCCUGUAACUUCGGGAGAAGGGGUGUCUUUUAUAAAAUUAUAAAAGAUGACACUAAAGUGGAGGUAGCGACUGUUUAAUAAAAACACAGGACUCUGCUAAAUCGUAAGAUGAUGUAUAGGGUCUGACACCUGCCCGGUGCUGGUAGUUUAAGAUUGGGAAAUGGAAGUUUUUCAAUUAAGGCCCAGUAAACGGCGGCCGUAACCAUAACGGUCCUAAGGUAGCGAAAUUCCUUGGCGGGUAAGUUCCGUCCUGCACGAAUGGUGUAACGACUUCCUCACUGUCUCCAACAUAGUUUCAGUGAAAUUGAAUUCUCCGUGAAGAUGCGGAGUAGUAGUGGCUAGACGGGAAGACCCCGUGCACCUUUACUACACAUAUUCAUUGUAAAGAAACAUUUUCUACGUAGAAUAGGUGAGAGCAAAAAAUGUCUUGAUUUAGGUCAAUAGCAUUUAGCGCCAAUGAAAUAUCACUUUGAAAUUGUUUUUUUACUAAAUAAAAUUUUAUGAUAGUGUAUAUUUGGUAGUUUGACUGGGGCGGUCGCCUCCUAAAAUGUAACGGAGGCGUACAAAGGUAAAUUCGUACUUUUAUUGAAAAAUAUUAGUAUUUAGAGUGUAAUGGCAUAAAUUUACUUGACUGUAAAACUAACAAGUUGAGCAGGGAGAUAGUUAAUUCUAUUUCGGUCAUAGUGAUCCGGUGGUGCUUAGUGGACAGGCCAUCGCUCAACGGAUAAAAGGUACGCCGGGGAUAACAGGCUGAUGAUUUCCAAGAGUCCUUAUCGACGAAGUCGUUUGGCACCUCGAUGUCGGCUCAUCUUAUCCUGGAGCUGUAAAAGGUUCCAAGGGUUGCCCUGUUCGGGCAUUAAAAAGGUACGUGAGCUGGGUUUAGAACGUCGUGAGACAGUUCGGUCCCUAUCUACCAUUACAUAUUUGAAAAGGUAAGAAAAUUUGCUUCUAGUACGAGAGGAUCGAAGUGAACUGAUCCAUUGUGUACCGGUUGUUGUAUUGAUCAGCAUUGCCGGGUAGCUACAUCAGGUGCGAAUAACUACUGAAAGCAUCUCAAGUAGGAAAUCCUUUUCUUUAUUUUCUUAAAAUAGUUUAAGACUAAAACUUAAAUAGGCAUUACGUGAACGUAUUGUAAAAUAUUCAGCAUAAGUGUACUAAUUAUUAUUUUUGAGUCAACAGUAAAAAUGUUUGGAAAUAAAAUAAAAUUUUAUGA
rnacentral:rRNA from 1 species